rnacentral:tRNA from 1 species
AGGGGCGGAUGUAGCCAAGUGGAUCAAGGCAGUGGAUUGUGAAUC